rnacentral:lncRNA from 1 species
CCGCUGCACUUUGGGUCUUCCUGAAAUUGAGUUGAGAUGCCUAGUUACCGCAACCAAAUAGAAUUUCAAUUCUAAAUACGUUAGCAUUAGCAUUGAUUGAUAUAGAGAAGAAUUGUAUAGAUAUUUGCACAAUUAGACUGUUUGACAAAAAAUAGCACUUUUUACAAAGAAAUAAAGAAAACAUAGAGAACACCUAUUCAAGCUCUUAUUUGGGUUUUAUCCUGUCGCC